GGAAUUUUGAGAGGGGAUAGCUUCUUCAAAUCUGACGGAGCAUGCUACUGACAAUCACUGGCAAGAUUACAGGUGUAGUCCAGAAGUUCACUCUCAGCUGCUCGAGCUUCACUAUUCCGGAGCUCUACAGCUAAUUGUUUUGGAUGACUACAUACUGGUUCUGGGAAACAUGGAAAACAGAGAGAUGAGCAUUCUAGAAAAGAUCCAGGAGAGACUGAGAAUGAGAUAUCCCAGUAUUACCAGACUCCAGGUCAUACACUGCACCUUCGCUGCUCGAAACAGCCACUUCUCUGGCAAACUGGCUGGGCAAAGUGUCGAAGAUCUGGUCCAGGCCAUUUUCCAACUCAUUGAGGAGGAACUGCAAAGG